GACGAACGCUGGCGGCGUGCCUAAUACAUGCAAGUAGAACGCUGAAGAGAGGAGCUUGCUCUUCUUGGAUGAGUUGCGAACGGGUGAGUAACGCGUAGGUAACCUGCCUUGUAGCGGGGGAUAACUAUUGGAAACGAUAGCUAAUACCGCAUAACAAUGGAUGACACAUGUCAUUUAUUUGAAAGGGGCAAUUGCUCCACUACAAGAUGGACCUGCGUUGUAUUAGCUAGUAGGUGAGGUAACGGCUCACCUAGGCGACGAUACAUAGCCGACCUGAGAGGGUGAUCGGCCACACUGGGACUGAGACACGGCCCAGACUCCUACGGGAGGCAGCAGUAGGGAAUCUUCGGCAAUGGGGGCAACCCUGACCGAGCAACGCCGCGUGAGUGAAGAAGGUUUUCGGAUCGUAAAGCUCUGUUGUAAGUCAAGAACGAGUGUGAGAGUGGAAAGUUCACACUGUGACGGUAGCUUACCAGAAAGGGACGGCUAACUACGUGCCAGCAGCCGCGGUAAUACGUAGGUCCCGAGCGUUGUCCGGAUUUAUUGGGCGUAAAGCGAGCGCAGGCGGUUUGAUAAGUCUGAAGUUAAAGGCUGUGGCUCAACCAUAGUUCGCUUUGGAAACUGUCAAACUUGAGUGCAGAAGGGGAGAGUGGAAUUCCAUGUGUAGCGGUGAAAUGCGUAGAUAUAUGGAGGAACACCGGUGGCGAAAGCGGCUCUCUGGUCUGUAACUGACGCUGAGGCUCGAAAGCGUGGGGAGCGAACAGGAUUAGAUACCCUGGUAGUCCACGCCGUAAACGAUGAGUGCUAGGUGUUGGAUCCUUUCCGGGAUUCAGUGCCGCAGCUAACGCAUUAAGCACUCCGCCUGGGGAGUACGACCGCAAGGUUGAAACUCAAAGGAAUUGACGGGGGCCCGCACAAGCGGUGGAGCAUGUGGUUUAAUUCGAAGCAACGCGAAGAACCUUACCAGGUCUUGACAUCCCGAUGCUAUUUCUAGAGAUAGAAAGUUACUUCGGUACAUCGGUGACAGGUGGUGCAUGGUUGUCGUCAGCUCGUGUCGUGAGAUGUUGGGUUAAGUCCCGCAACGAGCGCAACCCCUAUUGUUAGUUGCCAUCAUUCAGUUGGGCACUCUAGCGAGACUGCCGGUAAUAAACCGGAGGAAGGUGGGGAUGACGUCAAAUCAUCAUGCCCCUUAUGACCUGGGCUACACACGUGCUACAAUGGUUGGUACAACGAGUUGCGAGUCGGUGACGGCAAGCUAAUCUCUUAAAGCCAAUCUCAGUUCGGAUUGUAGGCUGCAACUCGCCUACAUGAAGUCGGAAUCGCUAGUAAUCGCGGAUCAGCACGCCGCGGUGAAUACGUUCCCGGGCCUUGUACACACCGCCCG
rnacentral:rRNA from 1 species